CCAACAGGGAUUGCCUCAGUAACGGCGAGUGAAGCGGCAACAGCUCAAAUUUGAAAUCUGGCCCUAGGUCCGAGUUGUAAUUUGCAGAGGAUGCUUCUGGCGCGGUGCCUUCCAAGUCCCCUGGAACGGGGCGCCAUAGAGGGUGAGAGCCCCGUCUGGUUGGCCGCCAAGCCUGUGUGAAGCUCCUUCGACGAGUCGAGUAGUUUGGGAAUGCUGCUCUAAAUGGGAGGUAGACCCCUUCUAAAGCUAAAUAUUGGCCAGAGACCGAUAGCGCACAAGUAGAGUGAUCGAAAGAUGAAAAGCACUUUGAAAAGAGGGUUAAACAGUACGUGAAAUUGUUGAAAGGGAAGCGCUUGUGACCAGACGUGCGUCGGGGUGUUCAGCGGGCGUUCUCGCCCGUGCACUCGCCCCGGUGCAGGCCAGCGUCGGUUCGGGUGGGGGGACAAAGGCGUCGGGAACGUAGCUCCUCCGGGAGUGUUAUAUCCCGGCGUGCCAUGCCCCCGCCUGGACCGAGGUUCGCGCUCCGCAAGGACGCUGGCGUAAUGGUCCCCAGCGGCCCGUCUUGAAACACGGACCAAGGAGUCGAGGUUUUGCGCGAGUGUUUGGGUGUCAAACCCGCACGCGUAAUGAAAGUGAACGCAGGUGGGAGCUUCGGCGCACCACCGACCGAUCCUGAUGUUCUCGGAUGGAUUUGAGUAAGAGCGUAGGGCCUCGGACCCGAAAGAUGGUGAACUAUACGUGAAUAGGGUGAAGCCAGAGGAAACUCUGGUGGAGGCUCGCAGCGGUUCUGACGUGCAAAUCGAUCGUCAAAUUUGCGUAUGGGGGCGAAAGACUAAUCGAACCAU
rnacentral:rRNA from 1 species